ensembl:lncRNA
AGGGGUGUGGCUCAAUAACUUUAUUGUCAUGUCAAUAUCCCAGGUUUUUUCUGCAAUUCCAGAGCAUUUGACUCAUGCACCAUUUAUCACCAUGAAGCAACGGAUUGAUGUGAGAAUGAGAAUGAAAAUGAAACGGACCCUUUCCUCAACAUGCCCCAGAACCCUCAAGCCUGAAAUGCCAUCUUAUUCAUCCUCAACCGUUCCUCAAGUGUUCCUCAGGAGUCUUACACAUCUUGAGCAUCGCUCACGUCACGUAGGACCACCAGCAAACCGGAACGUCAGGAAUCCAUACAACUGCACUGGCAUGCAAAGCUCAAAACAGACCUCCCGAGUACGCAAGACUGUAAUAAACAGAGCCGUUUAACAAGGUAACACACAUAUUUAGCGUAUUGAAGAGCGUUGAAGUCGGUAUGUUUACAGCUGUAGCAUUGUGUUAAUAAUUCAUCACUAGUUGUUCUGACAUCACUUGUUUCAGAUUUACACUUCCUGCAUAGUUUACAUCUUUGCAAAGUCUUUCCUACUUUUAUUUAUUUUAUUUUUUUUGAGUUAUGGAAAAAAAAUAAGCAUACUAUAGUGUUCUAACAGUUUUUACGCUCGCAUUGACUUUGCUUACUGAAGAACCGUGAAACCCUGAUACAUGACACGUCACACUCGACACACAUAUACACACAGUCAGUUUGCUGGUCAUUUGUGCUCUCACAGCAAAACUGUAUAAAGUUGCUUGCUACAAGGCUCGUGUACCACUCUACGCUGUGUUUACAGGAAUAUAAAGAUCACUAUGGCUGCAAGAGUUGCAAUACAGUUGCUUUCCCCAGCCAUUACUACAGUGAAAUAUGUUGAAAUGGUAUACCUAUGAAGGAAAGGCAAAGCUCUUUUGAAAAUUAUUAUUAAUUAUUAUUAUUAUUAUUAUUAUUGUUAUUAUUAUUAUUAUUAUUCUACGUAUUAUAACUACUUGAUUCAGCGCUCCUUCCUUUUUCCGCAGGAUGCAGACGGGUUUCUCGCGGAGAAGCUUGUAGGAGCUGGAACAGAGGCACAACAGACAAUCCCAAACCAUUCUUCAACACAGCCAAGAUGUGACGUAUACCCUAAAACAAAAAAGGACAUAUAGUAAGGGUUUAAUACCGAAGUUCUGUAUUCACUUACGCACAAUUAUCCAACCGUGAUUCUGGCUCUGAUAUCGGCUCGAGUAAGGAACGGAAUUAAGUCCAGCGCCAAAACAUAUCACACUGAAAUAUACGUCAAAUGUCCCUGUAAAU